UGGGGAAUAUUGGACAAUGGGCGAAAGCCUGAUCCAGCCAUGCCGCGUGUGUGAAGAAGGUCUUCGGAUUGUAAAGCACUUUAAGUUGGGAGGAAGGGCAUUAACCUAAUACGUUGGUGUCUUGACGUUACCGACAGAAUAAGCACCGGCUAACUCUGUGCCAGUAGCCGCGGUAAUACAGAGGGUGCAAGCGUUAAUCGGAAUUACUGGGCGUAAAGCGCGCGUAGGUGGUUUGUUAAGUUGGAUGUG
rnacentral:rRNA from 1 species